AACUCAAGGGAAACCUUAAGUCUUUGGGUUCUGGGGGGAGUAUAGUCGCAAGACCGAAACUUAAAGGAAUUGACGGAAAGGCACCACCAGGAGUGAAGUCUGCGGCUUAAUUCAACUCAACACGGGGAAACUCACCAGGUCAGGACACAAGUUUGAUUGACAGGUUAAUAGCCCUUUCUUGAUUGUGUGGUGGGUAGUGCAUGGCCGUUUCCAGUUCGGGGAGUGAUCUGUCUUGUUAAUUCAAAUAACAAACAAAACCUAAGCCUUUAACUAGCCGUAGGCCUUUUCCUUCGGGGAAGGGUUAGUUUGUCGGAACCAACAUCGGUUUGUCCCAAAACUUACAAGACUUUUGUCACCUCCUUAAAGGAACAUCAUUCCUAAACGAGGAUGAGGAACAUUUAGGCCAUAACAGGUCUGUGAUGCUCU
rnacentral:rRNA from 1 species